UGGGGGAAUAUUGGGGCAAUGGGCGAAAGCCUGACCCAGCAACGCCGCGUGAAGGAAGAAGGUUUUCGGAUUGUAAACUUCUUUUAUCAGGGACGAAGAAAGUGACGGUACCUGAUGAAUAAGCCACGGCUAACUACGUGCCAGCAGCCGCGGUAAUACGUAGGUGGCGAGCGUUGUCCGGAAUUACUGGGUGUAAAGGGCGCGUAGACGGGCAUGUAAGUCAGAUGUGAAAUACCGGGGCUCAACUCCGGGGCUGCAUUUGAAACUGCAAGUCUUGAGUGCAGGAGAGGGAAGCGGAAUUCCUAGUGUAGCGGUGAAAUGCGUAGAUGUUAGGAGGAACACCAGUGGCGAAGGCGGCUUUCUGGACUGUAACUGACGUUGAGGCGCGAAAGCGUGGGUAGCAAACAGGAUUAGAUACCCUGGUAGU
rnacentral:rRNA from 1 species